rnacentral:rRNA from 1 species
CGCAGCCGCGGUAAUUCCAGCUCCAAUAGCGUAUAUUAAAGUUGUUGCAGUUAAAAAGCUCGUAGUUGAAUUUCGGGAUCAGUUGAUCGGUCGUGCCUCGGUACGUACUGGUCAAAUUGAUUCCUACCUUCUGACGAACCACGAUGUCAUUAAUUUGGUGUCGUGGGAAAUCAGGACUGUUACUUUGAAAAAUUAGAGUGUUUAAAGCAGGCUCGCGCUUGAAUACAUUAGCAUGGAAUAAUGAAAUAGGACGUUUGAUUCUAUUUUGUUGGUUUCUAGGAUCGACGUAAUGAUUAAUAGGGAUAGUUGGGGGCAUUAGUAUUCAAUUGUCAGAGGUGAAAUUCUUGGAUUUAUUGAAGACUAACUACUGCGAAAGCAUUUGCCAAGGAUGUUUUCAUUAAUCAAGAACGAAAGUUAGGGGAUCGAAGACGAUCAGAUACCGUCGUAGUCUUAACCAUAAACUAUGCCGACUAGGGAUCGGAUGAUGUUAAUUUUUAAUGACUCAUUCGGCGCCUUACGG